CCUCUUUUCAGUUAGCGGCCCACCUUGAC
rnacentral:piRNA from 1 species